AGUCCAGUUCUUCUGGACUCAACUUCUUUCCCAGGAACUGACAGAUCCUCUCUAUGGUGCUUCUUGGGUCCUACGUGUGAACAUGAAGAGGGAAGCUGUGAACGGCAGGACAGCAGGACUCGGAGGAUGGGAAGGGGUGUUAGGAGGGCUGUGGGAGGAAGAGGAGGGGAAUGACAUCAGGAUGGGAGAAGCCAGCUGGGGACGCCAGAGGAGGGAGGCAGAGACAGGGCCAGCAGAGGGCGUGAGGUGUGUGGUGAUGUGGACAUCACAGGGGCUUCCCAGGAGGCUGAGUCAGGACACCCCAAAGGCAGGGGCUGGGGUUUCUAAGGAGAUGCCUGAGAUUUCAAGAUAAGGCAGCGAGACAAAGUCCCCAAAGGCUAAUCCUCUCCCCAAGUGAUCCUGCGUCCCUUGACUGACACUUAAUAACACACGGGGCUUUACAAUGUCUCCUUAACUUGACCCCAUGAUUACGGAUGGGUUUUCCUGGGAGAUCACAGCAAGGGAACAGGUCAUUAUGAGAAGAAGGGAUUUCCUUGGAGACCUAGAGCUCCUGUCAGCACCAUAGUCCUUUAUUAUAGCCAUGUUUUCAGGAGCCCCAGUCACUGAGUGACAAGAAGACCCAACUGUGGCAAUAAUGGAAGAACAUGCUGUUGGUUGGAGAGGAGAAACCCAGGCAGUGUGCAGCUUGCUGCUGAGGUGGCUGACGUGGCACCAAGGCACCAAGGACACAGCAGAACAGGAAGCAGCUGCAGGAAGGUGACCAGGGUCCCUUCUCCAGGGGAAACAGAUGCCUGAGCCUGUGGCACCUUCUCUGUCCCCAAGACACACCCACAGGACAGGGUUUUCUAAGGUCUGCUCACUCCUUUACUUUUUGUUCAUUUUUGACCACUUCUGAAAAAGCUUCUAAAUAUUUUAAAGCUUCCCAUUCUGUGUGGACCUGUGAGCCUCCCACAGAGCCCCGUGCGUCUCUGUGCCGUUCAUGGGCAGUUUUUUCUGCACCAGCAGAAAAAUAACGUUAGGCUAAGUACCUCCUCAAAGUGUGACGAUCCAGUCAGUGUAAGUGGCACAUCUGCAAACUCAGAUGAGAGUAUUUAUUUAGUUGGGAACAUUCAACAUCCUCUCCAUUUGCUAUUUUGAAAUAUAUACUUAGUUACUCUUCUCCACAGUCCCACCCUGUGCCUCAGGUCACUGGAAGUCAUUGCUGUUCCCAGCUGUACCCUGCACCCACCCACCAGGGCUGAGCUCAUCCACAGGCCCUGCCUGUUACUCCAGCCCCUGACCCCUCACAAUAGUCACCCAAAGUGGCACCUCACAUUCAUGUCACUUUGUCAGUCAAGGGGGAAGCCAGAAAGGUGGACCGAACUCUGGGAUUAGUGCUUUCUGCCCCACCCCUUCUGAUGGCUAGGUUUCUGGGAACAGACGAGGUCCUGCAGGCAGAGAACUCAGCAGGCCCAGGGGGUGGCAUAAGCCGUGGCACUCUUCUGGGUUUGUGACAAGGCCCUUUAGAUGAUGCCAGACUCAAUAGUUUGGAAGAUAUGAAGAAAGAUCUUGGAACUUAGGGAGGGUCUCACAGAAGCUGGAAAAUGGAGGCCAAAGUUCAUCUCCUCUCAGUGACCUUCACAGCCUAUGCUUUGACAGGAAACGUGAAGGGGAUACCCUGAGGACCAGGGACAUCGGGGAGAGAGAGGAUAUUGGGAUGCUAUAGGUGCCGACUAUGAGAGGGGGCUCACCUUCUGCAGCUCUUCAUAACUCA
rnacentral:lncRNA from 1 species